GCCGGGCGUGGUGGCUCAUGCCUGUAAUCCCAACACUUUGGGAGGCCGAGGCGGGUGGAUCACCUGAGGUCAGGAGUUCGAGACCAGCCUGGCCAACAUGGUGAAACCCUGUCUCUA
rnacentral:SRP_RNA from 1 species